rnacentral:misc_RNA from 1 species
GAUGAAGAACGUAGUGAAAUGCGAUAAGUAAUGUGAAUUGCAGAAUUCAGUGAAUCAUCGAAUCUUUGAACGCACCUUGCGCUCCUUGGUAUUCCGAGGAGCAUGCCUGUUUGAGUGUCAUUAAUAUAUCAACCUUCUCUUUUUUGAGUUGUUUGGAUGUGGGGGUCUGCUGGCCUCUUAAAUGAUUCAGCUCCCCUGAAAUGCAUUAGCAGAACAACCUGUUCAUUAGCGUGAUAAUUAUCUAUGCUAUUGAAUGUGAGGGCAGUUCAGCUUUCUAACCGUCCUUGGACAAUUCAUCAUUAAUGUGACCUCAAAUCAGGUAGGACUACCCGCUGAACUUAAGCAUAUCAAUAAGCGGAGGA